GUGCCAGCAGCCGCGGUAAUACGUAGGGUGCAAGCGUUAUCCGGAAUUAUUGGGCGUAAAGAGCUCGUAGGCGGUUUGUCGCGUCUGCUGUGAAAACUGGAGGCUCAACCUCCAGCUUGCAGUGGGUACGGGCAGACUAGAGUGCGGUAGGGGAGAUUGGAAUUCCUGGUGUAGCGGUGGAAUGCGCAGAUAUCAGGAGGAACACCGAUGGCGAAGGCAGAUCUCUGGGCCGUAACUGACGCUGAGGAGCGAAAGAGUGGGGAGCAAACAGGCUUAGAUACCCUGGUAGUCCACUCCGUAAACGUUGGGAACUAGUUGUGGGGGCCUUUCUACGGUCUCCGUGACGCAGCUAACGCAUUAAGUUCCCCGCCUGGGGAGUACGGCCGCAAGGCUAAAACUCAAAGGAAUUGACGGGGACCCGCACAAGCGGCGGAGCAUGCGGAUUAAUUCGAUGCAACGCGAAGAACCUUACCAAGGCUUGACAUAUACCGGAAACGGCUGGAAACAGUCGCCCCCUUGUGGUCGGUAUACAGGUGGUGCAUGGUUGUCGUCAGCUCGUGUCGUGAGAUGUUGGGUUAAGUCCCGCAACGAGCGCAACCCUCGUUCUAUGUUGCCAGCACGUUAUGGUGGGAACUCAUGGAAUACUGCCGGGGUCAACUCGGAGGAAGGUGGGGAUGACGUCAAAUCAUCAUGCCCCUUAUGUCUUGGGCUUCACGCAUGCUACAAUGGCCGGUACAAUGGGCUGCGAUACCGUGAGGUGGAGCGAAUCCCAAAAAGCCGGUCCCAGUUCGGAUUGUAGUCUGCAACUCGACUACAUGAAGUCGGAGUCGCUAGUAAUCGCAGAUCAGCAACGCUGCGGUGAAUACGUUCCCGGGUCUUGUACACACCGCCCGU
rnacentral:rRNA from 1 species